rnacentral:misc_RNA from 1 species
UAAUUAAAACUUUUAACAAUGGAUCUCUUGGUUCUCGUAUCGAUGAAGAACGCAGCGAAACGCGAUAUUUCUUGUGAAUUGCAGAAGUGAAUCAUCAGUUUUUGAACGCACAUUGCACUUUGGGGUAUCCCCCAAAGUAUACUUGUUUGAGCGUUGUUUCUCUCUUGGAAUUGCUUUGCUCUUCUAAAAUUUCGAAUCAAAUUCGUUUGAAAAACAACACUAUUCAACCUCAGAUCAAGUAGGAUUACCCGCUGAACUUAAGCAUAUCAAUAA